CUCGUAGGCGGCUGAGUAAGUCGGCGGUGAAAUUCCAAGGCUCAACCUUGGCACUGCCGUCGAUACUGCUCUGGCUAGAGUCCGGUAGAGGAGAACGGAAUUCCCGGUGUAGCGGUGGAAUGCGCAGAUAUCGGGAGGAACACCUGUAGCGAAGGCGGUUCUCUGGGCCGGAACUGACGCUGAGGAGCGAAAGCGUGGGGAGCAAACAGGAUUAGAUACCCUGGUAGUCCACGCCGUAAACGUUGGGCACUAGGUGUGGCGACCCGACCAACGGUUGCCGUGCCGAAGCUAACGCAUUAAGUGCCCCGCCUGGGGAGUACGGCCGCAAGGCUAAA
rnacentral:rRNA from 1 species